rnacentral:rRNA from 1 species
AGUGAACGCUGGCGGCGUGCUUAACACAUGCAAGUCGAACGAGAACGGAAUAUAGCUUGCUAUAUUUGUCAGCUAAGUGGCGCACGGGUGAGUAAUGUAUAGAUAACCUGCCCUUAAGAAAGGAAUAACAGUUGGAAACGACUGCUAAUGCCCUAUAUGCCUUUAAUACAUAAGUAUGCAAGGGAAACGCUUUAGUGCUUAAGGAUGGGUCUGUAUGGUAUCAGCUUGUUGGUGAGGUAAUGGCUCACCAAGGCUAUGACGCCUAACUGGUUUGAGAGGAUGAUCAGUCACACUGGAACUGAGACACGGUCCAGACUCCUACGGGAGGCAGCAGUGGGGAAUAUUGCACAAUGGACGAAAGUCUGAUGCAGCAACGCCGCGUGGAGGAUGACACAUUUCGGUGCGUAAACUCCUUUUAAAUAGGAAGAUAAUGACGGUACUAUAUGAAUAAGCACCGGCUAACUCGUGCCAGCCGCCGCGGUAA